rnacentral:rRNA from 1 species
AGAGUUUGAUCCUGGCUCAGGACGAACGCUGGCGGCGUGCCUAAUACAUGCAAGUAGAACGCUGAAGAGAGGAGCUUGCUCUUCUUGGAUGAGUUGCGAACGGGUGAGUAACGCGUAGGUAACCCGCCUUGUAGCGGGGGAUAACUAUUGGAAACGAUAGCUAAUACCGCAUAACAAUGGAUGACACAUGUCAUUUAUUUGAAAGGGGCAAUUGCUCCACUACAAGAUGGACCUGCGUUGUAUUAGCUAGUAGGUGAGGUAACGGCUCACCUAGGCGACGAUACAUAGCCGACCUGAGAGGGUGAUCGGCCACACUGGGACUGAGACACGGCCCAGACUCCUACGGGAGGCAGCAGUAGGGAAUCUUCGGCAAUGGGGGCAACCCUGACCGAGCAACGCCGCGUGAGUGAAGAAGGUUUUCGGAUCGUAAAGCUCUGUUGUAAGUCAAGAACGAGUGUGAGAGUGGAAAGUUCACACUGUGACGGUAGCUUACCAGAAAGGGACGGCUAACUACGUGCCAGCAGCCGCGGUAAUACGUAGGUCCCGAGCGUUGUCCGGAUUUAUUGGGCGUAAAGCGAGCGCAGGCGGUUUGAUAAGUCUGAAGUUAAAGGCUGUGGCUCAACCAUAGUUCGCUUUGGAAACUGUCAAACUUGAGUGCAGAAGGGGAGAGUGGAAUUCCAUGUGUAGCGGUGAAAUGCGUAGAUAUAUGGAGGAACACCGGUGGCGAAAGCGGCUCUCUGGUCUGUAACUGACGCUGAGGCUCGAAAGCGUGGGGAGCGAACAGGAUUAGAUACCCUGGUAGUCCACGCCGUAAACGAUGAGUGCUAGGUGUUGGAUCCUUUCCGGGAUUCAGUGCCGCAGCUAACGCAUUAAGCACUCCGCCUGGGGAGUACGACCGCAAGGUUGAAACUCAAAGGAAUUGACGGGGGCCCGCACAAGCGGUGGAGCAUGUGGUUUAAUUCGAAGCAACGCGAAGAACCUUACCAGGUCUUGACAUCCCGAUGCUAUUUCUAGAGAUAGAAAGUUACUUCGGUACAUCGGUGACAGGUGGUGCAUGGUUGUCGUCAGCUCGUGUCGUGAGAUGUUGGGUUAAGUCCCGCAACGAGCGCAACCCCUAUUGUUAGUUGCCAUCAUUCAGUUGGGCACUCUAGCGAGACUGCCGGUAAUAAACCGGAGGAAGGUGGGGAUGACGUCAAAUCAUCAUGCCCCUUAUGACCUGGGCUACACACGUGCUACAAUGGUUGGUACAACGAGUUGCGAGUCGGUGACGGCAAGCUAAUCUCUUAAAGCCAAUCUCAGUUCGGAUUGUAGGCUGCAACUCGCCUACAUGAAGUCGGAAUCGCUAGUAAUCGCGGAUCAGCACGCCGCGGUGAAUACGUUCCCGGGCCUUGUACACACCGCCCGUCACACCACGAGAGUUUGUAACACCCGAAGUCGGUGAGGUAACCUUUUGGAGCCAGCCGCCUAAGGUGGGAUAGAUGAUUGGGGUGAAGUCGUAACAAGGUA